rnacentral:rRNA from 1 species
CAACGUUUGAUAUACGUGUGUCUGCCUUGUACACACCCSCSGUCGCUGCCCAGGUACUGAGUUAUUUCGAGAAAAGCGGGGAUUGCGCUUUGUACUUUUUCGGAAGUGCAUUGCUGUGCGAACCGCGUUAAUCGAAACGGCUUGAACCGGGCAAAAGUCGUAACAAGGUUUCCGUAGGUGAACCUGCGGAAGGAUCAUUA